GGUAGAGCACUGCAUGUGGACAGGCAGGUUUAUGAGAGCCAUGUGCAGCAUUGCCAGUCACCCGGCAUAAUUACUGGCACCCUCCUCCGGCAAGCUUUCAGCCGCAAUAGGCUGAUAAGGUCUAGUUAUGCUGGCCAGAAGAGGGGGCAAGACCGGGUAGCAAAGCCAUGUCUGAAGAAAUAUCAGAAAAUGAGAGACAUCCAAGGAUAUGUAAAGAACAGGUUCCCGAGUAUAAGCCAAUCGGCUUUCUGUCUCCUUGUUGGGCGCUACUUGGGUGAGCGCCCAAACAGAAGGGCAGAAACUACCUACAUUGACACUAGCGGCAGUGAAGAGGAGCAGGAUUGAUUGAAUGUGAUCCCAUUCUCCUUAAUUGGAAGAUGUUUGUUUCACAUCACAUUUGCUCGCUAGAUUUUAAUUUGCAUGUUAGUUUUAAGAUAUGUGACAAGUUUGCUCCUGUGAAGCUUGGCUUAAAUUUGAAGUUAAUUUUAAUGCAUGUUCUUGAUUGACAGCGACAGAGAUAAUUUGAAAGAUGAGUUUGAGUAAAAUUUGUAAAGUUAAUUUUUGCACGUAUGUACUUGGUCUAUCGAGACUUCGGUCAAUGACUUUGAAAGAAUAAAACCUAAUGACAACCUAAUGACGCUUCUUUAUUGAUUUUAAACUCAGCAUUAACA